CAUCUCUCUAACAAUUAAUGAAAAGGUCAUAAAUAUGAUGAGAGACAGUGGGAUAGUAGUAUAUGGGAGGAAAGAGAAGGGAAGAAUGAUGUGAUUAUUCUAUAAUCUCAAAGAACAACAGCAACAAAAAACUUCCACAAUUUUAAAAGCAAACAGAUACAAAUUGAUCAUUGAGCAUUGGUUUAACACCAUUGUUUCCUUAAUGAUCUUGAGAAAGUAUUAUUGAAUUAAUAACGACCUUGACAAGGCCCCAUUCAGUGAAGUGCUAAGAACAAAGGCUUGGAGAAGCAGAUUUAAGAGAGAAUGAGAGAAAGGUACCAAUGGUAGUUUUGUGCCCCCACAGAGGCGAGAUACCUGCUGCAAUGGCCAUUCCAGUGGGUAACUGGAAAUAUGGGCCUUUAGCAUUGAGUAAGCAGCAAGUAUUUAGAGAUCUAAGAGAAGCUCAGUGGAAUUUAAAUGCCUAAAGAUAUGGAAGGAAAAGUAGCACUGUUUCUUUCCCAGACGCUUAAUGCUGGAAGAGGGAACUGAUCUUAAAAAGCAGCUUAGUGGGGUUGGGGUGCAGGGACGAUUGAGUGUUCCAUAAACUCACAUAAGAGCAUAUACACGCUGAACAGGACAAAGAAUAUUACCUCAUAGUAACUGCCAUAUUGGGUGGGUGUUGACAGAUAAUACAAAGUUAUUCGGAUAAGAAAAGGACAAAAGAAAGGAAAAAUAGAAUUCAAGAAAAAGGUAUUGUGACAAUAAAGACUCAGAGACCUGAAUUCCAGUAGUUGGGUGUUUUGGAAAUAGAUGAUCCAAAGGGACAGGUAGUGCCAGUUAAAAGUAUGAGCAGUUAGCAAAAGAAGUCAGACACAAGGACACAAUAAUGCAAAGAUGGGACAUUCUUUGGUAAAUGACAAAUGGGAUCACUGGACCGACAGUCCUUGAGUAGGCUUAAGAUCAGCUAAUGCAUUUUAAAACAUAACUCACUUAUUAGUGGGACUUCAUGUCCACCUCCUCUCUCAAUGGUGGGAUUUUAUCUAGCUUGACCUUACAUUCGUCUUCUGCAUACUAAGAGUCGCAAGUCCAUAUGUGUCUGGAAGCUUCUGUUUGUUUGCAGUUAAUUCUUACCACCCUCCUGUUCCUUUUUCAUAAACAAUAUCUGAGCCUUCAGAAGUGGGAGUGUGGAGAGCUGUUGGAAUUUGAAAGCUGAAGACAGAGGAAGAGUAGUAUUUCUGUCGUCACUGGGAUACCCUGAUUUGCUGAGAGCACGAUUUCAUUUCCAAACUCCGGCUGCUGAAACAGGAAUUUCACUGCAUAAACACAGAAGCCAUUGAGGUCUUAUUAGAGGCCGUUGAGUGAGGAGACUUUUGGAAGGGAUACAAACAUUAGUCCCUUAUUUUCUGCCUCCUGUUGAAGAUUUUCACAGCAGGGUGACUGGAAUCUAUGAAGGCAACUUUGUGAGUUAAGGGCUAAAGACCAUGUGGACAACAGGGUACAGCCAUGGAAAACCUUAAAAGCUGAUCUCAGGAAUGCCUGUGAGAAUCUGGACUGCCAACCGUGAUGUGAGUAUGAGGAGAGCCUCUGGUUUGUUUAAGUAGACAUAGCUGUGUCUGUUACUGUCUGUAGAAAAUUUAUGCAUUAUAUAAGGGAAAUUAUAAAUAUUAUAACUCUGUUGGGAGCAAUCCUAAAGAUUCAUUUGUUUGGUUCCAAGCCAUCAGGCUGUUACUUUAUUGAAAAUCACACUUUAAAACUUCCAUUAUUUUUCUGACCCAUACCAGAAUAGCCAAUGACAGUUUCUAAAAGUAGGAUCUUCAAUCUGUAAUGCUAUUUUUAUAACUUUUUUCCUUCUGGUUAGCUAUGUAAUCAUAAAGCUAUUUUUAAAAAAAAAGCACAAAGUAAGAUUGUGUAUAUUCUCUUGCUUUGCACACAAAUAGUAUCCCUUUAUGUUAUAUGCAUUUAAAAUUUUUCCAAGGCAAGUGUAUAUUCUGAAAGCAACGUGGUGCAGAGUGGGGUUUACCUAAAAGCUUGAUGAUUGAAUAACGACUUGGGCUUUGAUCCAAAAAAAUUAAUGAAGAGAAUACAAGUUGGUGAAGGGAAGAGAAACAUAUUUUUUCUUUUGUUUUAGAUACAAACAUUCUGCUUGGAAACAGAGAGGUGCUUCCCUGUAUCUUUACUAGAAGGACUCUGUGGAACACUCACGACCCAUUCCUAUACAGAUAGCAGCUGGAUCAUGUGCCUCUCUAUAGCAAAUGGACAAAAAGGGGAGGCAGAGAUGACUCUUUGUAAGGCAAUCAUCUCUGCUGGGUCAUGGAAGACCAGGGGCAAUUUUCAGGGAUCCCCAGAAUGACUUUCUGUCUGUGUCAAAACAGGAUCUCCAUCAACACCUGUCAUUGCCUUUCGGAGGUCUUUUAGAGUAUGAAUUGGUCUGUUCAAACUCUCAAAUGACACCUGUAGGAAGCAUUCUACUCUUAUUACAAAUCAUUUUACUGACUUCCGAUUCAACAAUUGCUUUGGGGCAGCAGUUAAUGUCCCCAAUGUAUCAGAAGGGAUUCUAGUAACUAUUCUUUAUGUAGAGAGAACUACUCUAGUUUUGUAGAAGAAACUUCCUUUAAUCUCAACAGUCUCUUAACAAUAGGUUUAGGUCAACAGAAACACGCAGGGUACGGACAUAUUUUUUUCUCUUACUGACACAAAUCACGCGCAGAUUCAUCAAGCUGUGAAAUAUAUUAAGUUCACAGGGCUUUAACAAAGGGUUAGAAAACCACAAGAACCUGCUGUGAUUCAAACUACUUUCAGAUGUCCUUUUAAUUAUAUUAAAUGAAAGUUUGGGUUGGCUUUGAUGCUUAUGGGCAAACAAGGAAAUCCAUUGAAAGAACUGCUAAAAGUACUCCCUGUUGCUGUGGUUAAUAUACUACAUUGUAUGCACACUGCCAACCAAUUUAUUCUAGUCACUUUAACAAGGAUAUGCAGCCUGACGGGCCACACAGGAUAGUAUCACGAGUCAGGCAGAGCACAAAUCAUUAGAGGGCUAAGAAAGUUGUUUGACAUGCACCACAGAGCUCUUUGUCACACAGCCAAUUAAGUGACCAAACAAGGAACUUGAAAAUACUCAUUAAUUUCUUCCUAGCAAUAUAAAUGGAACAUAGACUCCUUCUUGUCUCGUGCACCGAAGGCACCCAAGUAAAACUGGCAUAAUUCAAUUUGCACUUUGUCAAGGGUGCGAGCAGCAACUUCGGUUCACAGAGAGUCUGAGUUAGGCGCACGGGAAUGGAAAGCAUGGGUAAAAAGUCUGCAGAUAUUUUUACUAAGGUAUAGAUUUCUGGACUCUGUGUGGAAUUCUUCAUGUCCAUCAACAGUUGGGAGCGCUUUUGCGCUUGAAUUUUUAGGUCAUGGUUUUUUGAGCAGAUGCUGCAGUCUGAGCAUCAUUUCUUCUUCCUUGGGGUGAGGCUGGAGAGUUGGCGACUCAACACCUAACAGAGCAGCAUGCCUCACUUACAGAGGACUCAAGCGCUGUUCCCAGGACCCAUGUCAAGGGAGGCACAACCACCUGGGCCUUGGUAUGGCUAAAAUCUCUAUGAUAUCGCUCUUGAAGUAAAGCAGGACUAUAGACUUUAGGGAGAACAUAUUACCCCUGAGACUUGAGGAGCAGUAGCAAAAGGGUAAAAGGUGUAUUUAUUAACUAAGAAAAUGUUUCAAUCUAAAGCAGGAAGAAAGAACACCAGUAAUUCUUAAUAGUUCUUUCUGAAGAAAAGAACAAUGUUGCUAACAAAUAUUACAAACUGAAGGGUAGAAUUUUAAAGUUGAAAAGAUGAACGACAUUAUGUGUACAUGUAUAACACAUGAGUACACUGGCUCCUAAGCAGUUUGUUUGUAUGUAUAUAUUUAUAUCCUACUUCCCAAUUCUUAUUAAAAUCACACCCAUCUGAUUGGAAGCAUAUGGUCUUUUGAUGGUUCAUGGAUUCCCAAAUGUUACACCAUCUGACUCAUGACCAGAGAGUCCUGAAUCUGCUACUAAGCUUGUGUGUUCCAGCGUGUGUGUGUGUGUGUGUGUGUGUGUGUGUGUGUGUGUGUGUGUGUGUGUGUCAGGAAGAGAGCAGAGUACCCAGGUCGAGAAGUUGGGUGAUAUGGGAAACCUGACAGAUUUUGUAAAAUCCGAAAGAAACAUAAUGUAGGACAUCACUCUGGAAACUAGUCUGAUAACUCUGUCAACAGCUUUUUCUUUUCUUAAAAUUAUGUUUAUAAAUCAGGGUGUCCUUUGAAAAUCUGUUUCUUAAUAUAGCAGUACAAUGUACUGAUAACACAGCCACUGAACAUGGAUGCAUC
rnacentral:sRNA from 1 species